AGACGCACCAGUGAAACCUGGUACACAGUCCGUCUGGAGCCCUGCGUCACAUCUCCCACAUCCUGGAGCUUGUCGGGAUCUCCGAUCCCCCCGAGUCGGUCGAUGAGAAGGAUCGCAGCAUGUUGAUCAAUUUUUUAUGCCGUCGUCACUGACGCCCAACAUGUCUGUGUUUGUCCACUCGGUUUUGAUGAUCAAUGGAUGAGAGAGUCUCUGAGGACACCUUCCUUGUCUCUCCACUCUCUCUUUCCCGGAGAGGAACGUCAACGGGAUAUUUAAAUCACAGAACCCCUGGAAAGCAGCCGGCUUUGGUCCUUCCUGCCAGAUGGAAGGGGCAUCAUUGUUGUACGGGAUGAGCGGGGUCGGCUACAAUCUUUCCUGGAGGGAUGGCAGAUUGCAGCCGAUCACACUCUCUGCAGAGCGGAUGGACGCAGCCUGCCCUUGUCCUUGGUUGUGGCUGCAGCGUACCAGACGGUGAUGGAGGAGCUUUCCUGUCAGCAGUGGGUCCCAUUUACUGACUCCAAGUACCCCUUUGGCCCCAGUACUUCAUCCCGGAAACACUUUGCACAGUGUUUUCUCUCACAAUGGAAACAUAUGGACACACAUAACUUUUAACAAACGUAUCUGUUUAUUUUGUUGAGUCUUUCUAUGUUAUUUAAAUUUCUCAUUUUAUUCUUAUAUUUUUUCAAUUCAUCUGAAUCUGGCCUGGAAUUGAUGAACUCUGCACCGCCUGCUUCCUCAUAGUGACUCUCCUUUGUUGGACCAGAGACAUUUCUGCUAGUAAGUCUUUGGAAGCAGAGGCUCGUCCUGUUUUACGCAGGGCUCAAUGACGGCACAGUUGUGUGGAAGCACAAAGCGCGUCCGUGCCUCUGAGGCUAUCCGCUGCUGGCAAUCGGCUUCCUCCUCCCUCACUAUGAAGACGGCCCGUUUUUACAAUGGUAGCAGCAGCGGAUUGGCAUUUUUUCUAUGUGCUCAUGUGACUCCGACCUUUUGCUCGAGUUAAAUACAAUGUCAUUUAAUGAACAGCUUCACUGCUAGAUUCAUCUUAUGAUUCUGUUUUUUUCAAUUUUAAUUUAACUGAUCUGUCUUUUUGAGUUAUGUUUAUGUUCUGGGAAUAAUUUGUCCAACGGAGCAACCUUUCACAUGUAGGAAUACUGUCAUAUUAUCAGUACAUGUUGGAUCGCAGUCUGUGCGAAAUACAAAACAUCCCUGAUGCUGAUAUGAAUACAGAGAGUUUUCUUCAAAGUAAAGCAGACUGAGCCAACUGAGCCCUUUGAAACAUGAAUGACGACACGUUGCUGAAUUGGUUGCAGGGCUGUUUGUGGUUAAUCAUCAACCUGAUUAGCCAUUGGCCGCAAGGUCUACAGCUCAUCUCAUUAAAAUUAGAACAUAAUAGAAAAUGAAUGUGGAAUUUGGCAAUUUCCUCUUCAAUCCAGAGCUGUGAAAGCAGCAUAAAUCACUAGUGGGUUCAAAACGUAGCGGAUAGGAGAAGUUUAGGUUCAUCGUCAGAGCAGAGGCAACUCUGAAACCCCUCUGCUACAAGUCUUUCUAAAGCUAUGGAAUAACUUAAGAUACUUAUGGAAAAGCUGCAUGCAGCUUCAACUUUGUUGUACACAAAACCUCUUGUAAGUUUUUUGUGGAAAAUCAAAACUUACUUUCAAAUCAACUUAUUUAGACACUAAUUACUUUCACACAAUGUUCUUUCUGAAUGUUUUAGGUGGACCUUGAGUUUACAAGUGAGUUUACUCUGAGAUGCUUGUAUUGACAAUGAGACAGCCUUGGUAGGCUCUGAACUAAUGUCUGUGUCUGUACUUAACUCUCCCUGCUGGAUAUAAACUUUCUGCCUAAGACAUGAAGAGUCUUCCGUCAGAUGUAAUGAAGAAUGUGGCCGAGCCUUCAAAGACCUCAAGUGGACCACGAAGAGGUGGUGCGUUCUCUACAGUCGUGGCUUUUUCGCCACCUUCUUGGAGCACUGUUACUUCAGGAGGCGGAUGGAGAGGGACAGGUCCACUGUUGUCCCUGAGUCCCUGAGAAGUGCUUGGCCACAAGUGAGCCAUUGAGUCAUCUCAACGCUCGCCGGGACUUUUCUUCACCCUUGAGACGGACCAACGUGCUGAAGCAUUCAUUUAUAAUUUGGGAACUAUCAAUCACAGAAAGUGGGUAGAGGGAAAGUCACUAACUAACAAUCUAUCUAGGAGGAUUGUAAAUAUCUGGUAAUUAAUAAUGAUAUGUUGGGGUUGGGCAGCACGGUGGCGUGGUGGUUAGCACUGUUGCCUCACAGCAAGAAGGUCCUGGGUUCGAUUCCGCCCAGUGGCCUUUCUGUGUGGAGUCUGCAUGUUCUCCCCGUGUCUGCGUGGGUUCUGUCCGGGUUCUCCGGCUUCCUCCCACAGUCCAAAGACAUGCUCUGGGGAUCAGGCUAAUUGGGGACUUUAAAUUGCCCGUAGAUGUGUGAAUGUGAGUGUGAAUGGUUGUGUGUCUCUGUGUAGCCCUGCGAUUGGCUGGCGACCAAUCCAGGAUGUACCCUGUCUAUCGCCCGAAGUUGGCUGGGAUGGACUCCAGCCCCCCCGCGACCCUGUGUGCAGGAUAAGCGGUUUGACGAUGGAUGGAUGGAUGGCUGAGUCCUGGUUCCUGCUCUCUUCUGCAGUUCUUUUCCAUUUUAAGAAUUAUUAAAAGCCCACUUCACAGCUUAUCCCAUCUACAAAAAAAAGACUUAUCCUUUCAGUAAGAUUCCAAAUUAUGAAAGAGAGAACCUCGCUGGCAGAUGUGCUUUUCUAUCAUCAAGCUGACUGCUAGUUGCCGGGUUUAUCUGCCAGCAGAUAUCCGCGAUGUGGCAGAAACACAUUUCAAAACAGAAAUGACAAGCGGACCCCAUCCUGUGAUGAAGCAACGUUCAGCAGUCCUUUGUAGAUGGUACUCAGACUGCAAAGUUGCAUAUUACUCAAAGAGCGAUCCAGGGAGGCCACACUCUCACAUGGGCUGAAAACAGGCCGGUGCUGCUGUUAGUGCUGACAGACGCAACGUGGGUUCAUAAAUCCUGCUCCCCUCAGGCGGCCGACCCAUCAACCUUACACUUGUUGCCUUUCAUCCGAUGAGCAUUCGAGAAGAGGCCGGGGGUUCAUCUCGCAGCAGAUGACAUCUAAACCUUGGCUAAUGUCUCUGAGCGCACCGUGCAAGAAAACCAUUCUGCCUGCCAAGACGUGACAAAUCAAUAUCAGUGCAAUCAGGGAGCAAUGGAAGGACUCUUCUGCUGCAUGUUUGCCUGUAUGUAUCCAGACCUUAAAGACUCAAAGAGCUUUAGGGUCUACUCUGUGAACAGCCAGUCUGUCCACAGAAAUACACGUAUGUGUGCGUGUUUUUUUUUCUAAUUGGUCUAAUCUUUAUAUACAAAGCUUGACUCAGGUUUGUCAUCCGCACACAGGAGUCCCUCUCCACGGAUAAGGAACCGGCUGCUUUAGUCCUGCCUGCUGCUAAUGAAAACCCUAAUUACACUGCUAUAAAACAGACUUUAAAUUCUACGGUAAUAGGACACUUUUAUUGUGAUGAAUUUACAGGAAGAUGAUCACCAAAUUGUUUCGCUGCUUUUCUUAAAAAAAAAACACUGGGAGGAGUAAGCAGCUAAAAUAACGGAUAUAGGAUAUUAAAUAGUGCAGAACUGCAUUCUAGUGUAUCUGGAUGCAAUUGUAUGCAGGUGAAAUUGAGGUGAGCAUGCGUGUUGGCCGUUGGAGACAUUUAGCACAUUAUUCCAUCAGAGAGAAGGUUUGAACUUAGACGCCGUUGUUCUCCUGGACGGAUGAGCACAGUGUGUCAUCCACGUGCACACACAACGCAACGCUGUCUCCGGCUCUGUUCCAGCCUCACGCCACUUCUUCUUUUUGUGAUCUUCUCUUCAGACCUCCCGUCUCUUGAUGGUUCACAAGUUCUCUGGUGCCCGUCUGCUCUUCUUGUGACCUUUUCAGAAUUAUACAUACACAAUGAGAUUCUUCCCCUUCAGGAACGCACCAUUUGAGGGCCGUCCCGUAAGUUAGGAGACACUUGCACGGCACUGCGAGGAUUUUCAAAAUGCCAUCGAGACGUACUAUGAACGACCCGUCCCCCCCGUCCUCGUUCUUCUGCUUCGCAGCUUUUCUCAUAGUAAUUCCGCCCUUCAGCGCUCACUCUACAUGCGAUAUUGGGCCAAGAUUUCAAUUUGUUGUUUGACCUUUCCGCAGACACAUUCUGUGGGGAAGUGCAAAUAGCAAUGUGCUCCCAGGGCUUUCUGGCGCUGGAGCCUCGCUGGAAAAGUCCAUCUGGAUUCUUAGAAGUAAUACGUCCUCUCAAACGCACCUGUUAUUUACGGCUUUUAGAUUCUCGCCAACACAGUAGCAACAUAACGCCACUUUGCGCACCUGCAGUGUGAUUUUUACUGUUUUACAUGACCGGCGGCGUUUUGGCUGUGCAAAUACAACUGGGAUCAUAAAUAAGCUUGUUAGUUCCUGCCUUGCUGCUUGUGAUGACAAAUGGGGCCGCCGUGCAAACAUUGUCAGCAGAUGGCAAAAACGACUCAAGCGAGGGUGCCGCCUGGUACUUGUGGGAGGUCGGAGUUGCGGGGCUGCGUCGUCUGGCGACGCGCUCUUCUCCGCUCGGCCUCGGCAAGCGGCUACGUUCAUCACAGCGACGCACCUCUUCAGACAGACGUGAGCCGCUCCCUCACGCUCCGCGGACCUCGGCGGCGACGCUGAAUAUUCGAUGAAUAUUCCCGCAAGUGCCGGAGCCUGACGGGCCUCUGCGACAACAACGCCCACCCGUCCGCGCACUUUGUGUGUGCGUGGGGAAGUGGAGUGAGGGGCGCGGGCGUUCGCUUUGUGCUCCGAUUCAUCAGAGCCCAUUCACUGCCUGAGAAUAACUGCCAGACGCACACAGCCAUUCAAUUACCUACUUUUGUUGGAAAAUGGCAGUCGCACAACAACAGUCCAAAUUGUCGACGGGGUCGUGGUUGUUUGCACCAAUCCCUUCCCCCCCCGCCGCGACCUCCCCUUUCCUCCUCUGCUUGUUUUGAAAGAAACGGAUGAAACGAGAUAAAACGACCUGAAGCUCCGAGCGUGUGAAUAAGGCACUCAAAUUAAUGGGCUCAUUGUUUCCGCCGAGAAGCAAUUACGCUGCCGUCUUCUCGCCUUGUUUCCCUACCAGGUCAACAAAGACGUUGUGGUAGUUGGAGGUGGCAGGUGAGAAGGGGCAGCCCGGGGGGUCUCUGUUACACAAUCAACAGUAAUUCAGUGACGAAACUCCUCCUGUUCUAAUCCAUCGACGAGCCCAGAACAUGAAUUGAAGCUGCACUUGUUUGAAAAGUGAAAAAAAGAUUGAGACCUGUGAUUGCGUGCGCUUUUUCAACCCUAUCAAAAUGAUCAAAUGAAAAAACAGAACCUGCCUGCAGAAGACAUAUUGGUUUCUGUACUGGCGCCAUGACAACACGAUUCCUCCCUCCAUCCAAGAACUUUAUAAAAUCCCUGCAGGCCCAAAGACAACUUAAUUAUCUUCCAAGAAUUGUGCUUUGCUUUAAAAUAAAGGUCAGAGGACCUUUAUCCUCAUUUUAUGGAGUGUGGUUACGAUUAUGAAACUACGUCUGUAAGCCUACGUCAGUUGUUUGCAGACACAUUCAUUCUCCCUUCAAGCUCGGUGCCACGUGUACUGUUGCUCGGCAACAACCACUUGUCUUCCUCCUCUGCUCUAAUCAUAAUGACUACAUUGGCUGUGGGGUUUUUCACUUGUCGGUAUGUACAUGAGGUUUAAAGCGGCAUUGCGCCCUUUUAUGGAUGAUUUAAUCCACAAUUUCUUACAAAUAAACUCCCCACAGCAUGGUUCGUGUUUUCCUCUUCUUUCAAUAUGCUUUCACCAGCUUCAACUUUCUGUGAACCUCUAUUUAGUUGUAAAUGGAAUACGUUCAUAUUUCUGGCACUGUGUCGGAUUGUCGUAUUGUCCGACGUACGCACCACCCGCCAUGACAAAUUCCCUGUAUGUCCAACACACUCAAUUAAUGCUUCGGAUUCAUCUCACUCAAACAGUUUGUGAGGAAGGAAUGAGAUUGUUUAAAAAAG
ensembl:lncRNA